CGGAUGGAACGUUAAGGAAAGUGCCAAUAUUCGACACUUUAUAGUUUUACUUAUAAAAAUAUCUAAGAAAGUCAGUAUUUGUUAAAGAAAAAAUGUUGGCUAACUGGAUUCUGCAAAAAAAAAAAAAAAAAAAAAUAGAUACAAUUAUUAACCCUUGAAAGUAUAGCUAUAUCAGUGGCCACAGUAGUACUAAUAUCUCAGAUAAAGUAAUAAUCGUAUUUAUGUCAUAAAUGAAACAAAUGUGAGUUUUUACACUUCAUAACGUUCUUUGCUCUUUUGUUUGUUCAUUUCUAUCACUGAGGGUCAACCUCUGUGGUCUCCCCCCUUCACACGGGGCUUCAAUGGACAGUUCCAUCUGAUGAAGUUGAAAAAGGCGAAUCAACCUGUUCCACACCAGAGCCAGAGCCGCUGCGUCUGCUCUCCAAUCCGAGCACGGUUCGCAGCCGCCGGCUUUCUCCAGAGGACCGCUCAUGAUGCGUCUCCACCACGAACGACGGAACGCGUGUGAAUAAUCCGCUGGAGAUUGCGGGAGAAUCCAGCUCCAGAAGCCGAAGGUCUGUUCGGAUGGUGAGGAGCGAGCGGGCGGUCGAGCAUCCAUGCGCCUCGGCGGACUGUUGCGAAAGACGUGGACUGUGAUCACGGCAUUUGAAUUUGGAGACCGAAGCUGCGGAUCCGCGGAGACGUCAGGGUGACCCCGUUUUGCCCAAACAGAAUGGCAAGGAUGUAAUACUGACAGGCGGCAAUAAAGGACUCGGCUAUGAGACGGUCAGACAGCUGACGAAUCUGGGAGUUUAUGUCAUAAUAGCCUCACAUGAUGAAGCGGAGGGUCUGGCCGCUGUGAAGAAGAUUUGUGAGGAGGACAGUGAAGCUCAGCUAAGGCUCCUGUCAGUGGACAAUUGGGGCCGUUUUCAGGUCGAGCAGCUCAAGGAGACUCAGAGACGCAGAAUGAAUGCUAAUGGAGCUGCGGUGAAUUGAUCGUGUUGAACUAACGAACAGAAUGUCAGUAACAAGCUGAAGAAAAGGCAGAGAAAACAAGUGUGGAGUACAUAGUGUGUAGUGCCAUUAUUAUGUCCAUCCAUCUCUUCACCUAAACAGGAUUUAACAGGCGAUUAGGGCUGGGGAUCUGAUUCGAUAUCGGUUCACAAGCUUGCGAUUCGAUUCGAUUCAGUUUGACAUUGAUUCAUUUGGAUAUAAAGGCAAUCACAUAC
ensembl:lncRNA